rnacentral:rRNA from 1 species
UACGGAGGGGGCUAGCGUUGUUCGGAAUUACUGGGCGUAAAGCGCACGUAGGCGGCUUUGUAAGUUAGAGGUGAAAGCCCAGGGCUCAACCCUGGAAUUGCCUUUAAGACUGCAUCGCUUGAAUCCAGGAGAGGUGAGUGGAAUUCCGAGUGUAGAGGUGAAAUUCGUAGAUAUUCGGAAGAACACCAGUGGCGAAGGCGGCUCACUGGACUGGUAUUGACGCUGAGGUGCGAAAAGCGUGGGGAGCAAACAGG